GAUGAACGCUGGCGGCGUGCCUAAUACAUGCAAGUCGAGCGAACGGACGAGAAGCUUGCUUCUCUGAUGUUAGCGGCGGACGGGUGAGUAACGCGUGGAUAACCUACCUAUAAGACUGGGAUAACUUCGGGAAACCGGAGCUAAUACCGGAUAAUAUUUUGAACCGCAUGGUUCAAAAGUGAAAGACGGUCUUGCUGUCACUUAUAGAUGGAUCCGCGCUGCAUUAGCUAGUUGGUAAGGUAACGGCUUACCAAGGCAACGAUGCAUAGCCGACCUGAGAGGGUGAUCGGCCACACUGGAACUGAGACACGGUCCAGACUCCUACGGGAGGCAGCAGUAGGGAAUCUUCCGCAAUGGGCGAAAGCCUGACGGAGCAACGCCGCGUGAGUGAUGAAGGUCUUCGGAUCGUAAAACUCUGUUAUUAGGGAAGAACAUAUGUGUAAGUAACUGUGCACAUCUUGACGGUACCUAAUCAGAAAGCCACGGCUAACUACGUGCCAGCAGCCGCGGUAAUACGUAGGUGGCAAGCGUUAUCCGGAANUUAUGGGCCGUAAGCGCGCGUAGGCGGUUUUUUAGUCUGAUGUGAAAGCCCACGGCUCAACCGUGGAGGGUCAUUGGAAACUGGAAAACUUGAGUGCAGAAGAGGAAAGUGGAAUUCCAUGUGUAGCGGUGAAAUGCGCAGAGAUAUGGAGGAACACCAGUGGCGAAGGCGACUUUCUGGUCUGUAACUGACGCUGAUGUGCGAAAGCGUGGGGAUCAAACAGGAUUAGAUACCCUGGUAGUCCACGCCGUAAACGAUGAGUGCUAAGUGUUAGGGGGUUUCCGCCCCUUAGUGCUGCAGCUAACGCAUUAAGCACUCCGCCUGGGGAGUACGACCGCAAGGUUGAAACUCAAAGGAAUUGACGGGGACCCGCACAAGCGGUGGAGCAUGUGGUUUAAUUCGAAGCAACGCGAAGAACCUUACCAAAUCUUGACAUCCUUUGACAACUCUAGAGAUAGAGCCUUCCCCUUCGGGGGACAAAGUGACAGGUGGUGCAUGGUUGUCGUCAGCUCGUGUCGUGAGAUGUUGGGUUAAGUCCCGCAACGAGCGCAACCCUUAAGCUUAGUUGCCAUCAUUAAGUUGGGCACUCUAAGUUGACUGCCGGUGACAAACCGGAGGAAGGUGGGGAUGACGUCAAAUCAUCAUGCCCCUUAUGAUUUGGGCUACACACGUGCUACAAUGGACAAUACAAAGGGCAGCGAAACCGCGAGGUCAAGCAAAUCCCAUAAAGUUGUUCUCAGUUCGGAUUGUAGUCUGCAACUCGACUACAUGAAGCUGGAAUCGCCAGUAAUCGUAGAUCAGCAUGCUACGGUGAAUACGUUCCCGGGUCU
rnacentral:rRNA from 1 species